AUUGAACGCUGGCGGCAGGCCUAACACAUGCAAGUCGAGCGGGGUUUUCGGACCUAGCGGCGGACGGGUGAGUAAUGCGUAGGAAGCUACCCGAUAGAGGGGGAUACCAGUUGGAAACGACUGUUAAUACCGCAUAAUGUCUACGGACCAAAGUGUGGGACCUUCGGGCCACAUGCUAUCGGAUGCGCCUACGUGGGAUUAGCUAGUUGGUGGGGUAAUGGCUCACCAAGGCGACGAUCCCUAGCUGGUUUGAGAGGAUGAUCAGCCACACUGGAACUGAGACACGGUCCAGACUCCUACGGGAAGCAGCAGUGGGGAAUAUUGGACAAUGGGCGAAAGCCUGAUCCAGCCAUGCCGCGUGUGUGAAGAAGGCCUUCGGGUUGUAAAGCACUUUCAGUAGGGAGGAAGGGUUAAGUGUUAAUAGUACUUAACUUUGACGUUACCUACAGAAGAAGCACCGGCUAACUCUGUGCCAGCAGCCGCCGUAACAC
rnacentral:rRNA from 1 species